rnacentral:rRNA from 1 species
UACGGGGGGGGGCAAGCGUUGUUCGGAAUUACUGGGCGUAAAGGGCUCGUAGGCGGCCAACUAAGUCGGAUGUGAAAUCCCCAGGCUUAACCUGGGAACUGCAUCCGAUACUGGAUGGCUUGAAUCCGGGAGAGGGAUGCGGAAUUCCAGGUGUAGCGGUGAAAUGCGUAGAUAUCUGGAGGAACACCGGUGGCGAAGGCGGCAUCCUGGACCGGCAUUGACGGCUGAGGAGCGAAAGCCAGGGGGAGCAAAACGGGG